CAAUAUGAAACAAGAAGUUUAUAAAAAAAAGAAUAAUUUUGACUCUCGCUAAUCGGAGCAUCGUUGGAUUCUUAUUUUGAAUUCGAAAUUAUCCUUUUUUCUCUUAGCUUAUUCAUUACGAAUUAGCUUAAAUAAUAUACCAUUGGAUGAAUGGUUUAUAAAUCAUAUAAUGUCAUUCUAUUUUCCCUUAAGAAAUUGAAUGACGCAUUUGAUUAUAUUCCCGACAUUCUAUCCCGAAAUGAUAUAAAUCCUCAAUCUUAGAAAUCUCCUACUUAUGUAUACUUACUUUAGGCAAAUCAGACUUAGAGUUAGAUUAGUAGUGGUGGUCCAAGAAAGAAGAAUACUCAUGUAUAUUUGGUAUAAAUUUAAGCCUUUGACUUUAAAUUUUAGAUUCUAAAUAGAAAUUUUAUAUUUAUAUUUCUAGAAUAUAAUACAGUUACACUUUCACAAGUGUUUAAUAACCAUUUUUUAUCAAUGGAUUCAAACUGUAUGUUAAAGUAUGGAAUAUGAGUUUAGUAUUCUGUGACCAGGAUCCACUUACACUAUUCUAAGAAGUCUUUAUUAUAACUAAACCUAAGUCAUCAAAAGACCACAACCACAUAUUUUAUAAAUCUAUGGCAUUUGUAUCUUGUUGAUAGUGGUUUUGACAAGAUCAUUCUCUGCAAAGAGUCAAUAUGCCUAUAUCCACUGAAAGUAUAAUCAUCUCAUUCGCAGAUGGAUGUAUAUUCAGGGGUGGAUAUGAGUUUUCGUUAUGUUCUUAAGACGAUCACUCUAAAUUUUACCUUAUGCAAAAGAAAUUUGAAAUGUUUAAAAAAUUUCAUGAAUUUCUAGCAAUGUUGAAAAACAUUGAGGUAAGUGGUUAAAGAUCUUGCGAACUGAUAGGGGUGGAGAAAUAUUUGAUCAAUAUGCAGUUCAAAGAUCAUUAAGUUGAUUUUUUAAAUUAUAUCCAAACUUACCUCCCUAGAAAUUCGAUUUGCAUAUUGAUGAUUAGUUACUAGUCGUUGCCUAAGUCCUUCUAGGGAUAUACCCUAGUGAAAAGAAAAUUUUAGAAUGAUAGAAUAGUUGUGUACUUAGUGUAAACCAUUACUAGAUUCAUGGAUGACCUAAUCAAAAUCUUAAGAGAGGCUAGAACUGUUAACUAAGAUUUGCAUGUUUGUUAUCUAUUCUAAGUGAUUAGGGGUGGACCAUCCCAUAGUCAUUAGAUUAGAAAGUGUUUGUUUCAACAAAUACUACUUUUCUAAGAAAAAUGACUAAGUCUGAAAACAAAGUAGCAAAGUAGAGGAGAUAUUUUUUUUUAUUCCAAAAGUGUUCUAUCAUCUUAUUCGAUACAAGAUGAUCCCACUGCCUCUGUUAUUUUAACACAACCGAAGAGGACAAUACCAUUUAGAUUCUUAGACAAUAGUCACAGUACUUUGUCGUAGUGGGAGGGUUUCAAGGAACUCAUCCUGUUAUGACUUGGAAGACACCGGUGAUUAAAAUCCAUUGUUAGUUUAAACGAGUAAUGGAUUGUCAGAAUAAGAAACUAAGAAGUAAAGCCAAGAAAACUAUGGUUAAAACCAUUCAUGUGGAACAACCAAAAGUUUUCUAUUACAAGGACAUGAAAGGAAAUUUCGUUUGUAGGUCUAUUCAAUGGACUUAACAAAACUUCCUAUUCCUAGUAUUAUAGGUUUGAAUUUAUCUAAACCUAUGGCUUGUGGUAUAUCUAGUUAAUUACUUACUCUAGUACAAGCAACUUACUUUAGUAAGAUGCUGAAGCAUUUUCUUUUCUAAUGGCAAUCUAUAGAAGCUUCUCGACUUCUAGACAUAGAUUUUAUUUAUCUAAGGAAAAGUCUCAACUAUUCCAGAAAAGUUAAAGCCAUGAAAGAAUUCUUUGAAUCAACAGUGAGAGGUCUCAGAUAUGCUUCAGUAUGCCUUAGUCCAGACACCUGCUGUUGAGUGGGAGUAAUGAGUGGGUAUCAGAUUAAUCCAGGAAAGGAACAUUGGAAGACAAUCAAGUAAAUCUUAAGAUUAAGAAGAGGAACUAUAUGUUAGUCGAUAAGGGUGCAUUUAAUACUCUUAGACUACACCAAAUCAGAUUUCUAGACUUGCCUUAGUGCUAGAAAGCUUGCUGAUGAGAUGGUGAUUACUCUGGGGGUGGACUAGUGAUUUUGGAAAAGUGUAAAAACCUAUCUGAAGUCUCUAAGUCUACCAGAGAGAGACUGAAUGUUAAAGUUGCAGGAAAGAUACUUAUUCAAUCUAAGGAAAGUUCUAUACAUUUUUGGCAUUUGUUCCAACAUUUAUAAACUACAACUGUUACUUCCUGACUAACGCAAAGUAGUUGCCAAAAAGUAUAGAAUCCAGUAUCCAAAGAGAGUAGAAAUAUAGAGAGGAAUUUCACAAUAUCAAAGUAUUUUGUGAUUAAGGAAAAGUAAUGGUGGAGGAAAGGUUGUGUUGAAUACAACUUGUCAGAUCCUAUUAUGGAAAGUAUACUACAUACUACACUUGAUUUGUAUAUCAAGGUGUUGAGAUUAUUUGAAAUGCACUUUUUGUUUUAUAUUAGUACAAGUGGGAGUUUGUUGGGUUUUGUGCCCUAAAUAAAACCUAUUUCAAUAUAAUCAAAUUUACUAGUUAAUAAAGAUCAGAAAUAACAUUUUAAGUUACAUAGUUCACAUGAUUUAUUUCAUGAUUAUAAAUUCUAUUAAGUCCAGAACAUAUGUAUUUGUUAAUGAUUAUAGUGUUGUCAGCACAAUGGAAUAUAAUCUUGAUUAUACUUUCAAAAGUUUAAUUCCCUGAUUUGUCAGUUCACUGGAUUUAGACUGCAUGAUAAUCAGCGAUAAGUAUACUUACACCUUGGAUAAGUGUUAUGUCCUUUCCAGGGCAUUGGUAAAAUUUACAAGUAUCGGAUGUAUGGAGUAUACAUUGGAAGGGACCGAUAUUGAACUUUGAUUAGAUAUGUUAAAUUUACCGUAAUAUCUAUUCAAUUAAAUAUCACCUAGUUGAUCCUAGAUCAAAUGAUCUCAAUCCUGAUAUGGUUAGGUUCGAUCUCAACAGUAUUAUACAUGUUCUUUGAUUUGUUAGUUAAACCUAUUUUUGGGUCAAGGUGAUACGUACAUUUUGGGAACAUGGUAGUGCAAUUAAGUGGGAGCGCUAAACAUAGAUAUGGAAUCUAUAGCUUCUAUAGGUAUUUAGAAGUGAAACGAUGAUUUCCUUCGAGCUUGCUAAAUAGAGAUAAAUGAUAGAACGUUCAUUUUAGUGACUAUAUUAAUUCACUAAAAUAUCAUUUAUAGGUGGCAAGUGUUUUAAGGAUAAAAUACAUUGAAAGGGUGUAACGAUAAUUUUAUCCCUAUGCAAUGUAGAUCAUCUACAGAGGAUCAUUAAUUAUUGGGAUUAUAACAAUGGAUAAUUUAUAGCGUAUCUAUAUCGUGAAACAUAUAGAGCGUUUUAUAUGACUGAGAGUGCAAUUCCAAGUUCUAUGCGUGGAUGCAACAAGGAAUUAAUAAGUCAGUGAAUUUACUUGGUAAAUUCUUGGUCUGCUUAUUGGAAGCUCGGUUAUAUAGGCCCAUGGUCCCCAUACUAGCUGAGACCAUACUGCUUGUAAGACUUAGUUAAUUGAUUUUUAUUAAUCAAUUAUAAUUCUAAAAUUAGACUAUGUCUAGUUUAUGAAUUUUCACUAAGCAAGGGCAAAAUUGUGAAGAAAAGAGAUGUUAGGUUUUAUUUAUUAAUUAAGAGACUUUAUAUGUCUAAUUAAUAAAUGCAUUAAAUGACAAUAUUAUUUAAUAAUUAAUUUUUAGUUAUUAAAUAAUUGGAAUUGGCAUUUAAGUGGUUAAAUUAGAAAAUUGGCGUUUUUGAGAAAAUGGGAUGGAAAAAUGACAAAAUGGCAAAAUUACAAAGUGGGCCCAUUAUCCAAUCCUAGGGCGAGCCACACUAAUGCAAUUUACCAUUUAUUUUUUCAUUAUUUUAAUGCUAAUUAAAUCUAACCUAAACCUAGCUGGUUACCUAUAAAUAGGAAGUGAUGGCUUCAGGAAAAAGAUGAUGUAUCUCAUUCCUUCAGAGAAAAAUUCUAAGCCUUCUACCUAUACCCUAGCCGCCACCCUCUUCCUCUCUUUUCUUCUUCAUAUUAUUUAGCCUUGAGUGAUAGAGUGAGUGCCCACACACAUCAAGUGGUAUCUCAAUCAUAGUGUGUAAGACUGUGAAGAAUCCAAUCAACCAGAAGGAGAAUCGGGGUCAAGAAGGAGAGAAAGAGAUUCAAGUUCAGAUAUUGAUAAUGCUCUACUACAGAAAGGAAUCAAGGGCUAGAGAUCUAAACGGAAGGUUAUUUUAAAGACUAUUCAUGCAUUUAAAGUCUUUUGGAGGGAUUUUAGCAUAUUUUGGUGGAAAAUAGUGGAAGUCGGCGAGCUCGAUUGUGUUGGGUUUUAUGCCCUAAAUAAAACUUCAUUUCAAUGUAAUCUAUUUUAUUCAACAUCAAUAAAGAAACAGAAGUAUUUUUCAUUCAUUUGUAUAUGUUUUGGUUCACUUUAUCAAUUCCUUGUCUAUUUGAUUUAUAAAUUCAUCUUAAA